UGAUGACAUGACAGAUUGCAGGGGCAGAUUUGAGGUUAUAUUUGGGACAAAGAGCUCCUGAAGUAUCUUGAAGGAACUUGCCAGCUGAUGCCUGUUCUUAAAAUCCAUAGGUGAAUCUGCAUUUAUAAUCAGGGGAAGGAUUUUAUACACAGAGAUCAUCUGCCUUCUAACUGGAGUGUCGAACAACAGGGAAUGCAAAAUUUUUCCCACAUAUCAACUGCACCACCCUGUGGGAACCGCUUAGGAACUGUAUAUCCGGUACAGCAACUCCAUUCAUUACAAGAAAAGGAAUGGCUAUGAAGCCAUAGCAGAAGUCAGAGAACUUAGUGUAUGAUCACCAUCAUGCUCAAUCAAGAUAUAAAAUUGCGUGUCAUCUUCACAACUUUGGAAAUCAAGUUUAUGCUCUCUAAUGAUGUCUCCUCAGGAAAGCAUAUAGAUAUGAGGAGAGGAGUAUGGGACCAAGGCAUCUUUCCUGAGCAACAUCAAAAGAUGUGGGCUGACUUCUGUCUCUGAUUUUGCUUCAGACUUCCAGCAGAUUGAUCUUCACUUUCUGGGAAAUCUUUGACAGCUUUCUAGCUUGUGUGAAGAAAAUUGGUUUAUGGCAAUUUCAGAAUCAAAAUCAGGUUUAUUGUCACAGAUAUUUGUUGUGAAAUUUGUUGUUCUGUGACAGCAGUACAGUGCAAAAUAUAUAUAUUGCUAUAAGCUACAAUGGAAAAAUAAUGCAAAAGAGUAACACCAUAUCACAAAAUUUAUUGUAAAAGAAUUAGCAUUCAAGAGUUGAUGGUCUGUUCAGAAAUCUGAUGGUGAAGGGAAAGAAGCUGUUCUAAAAUGUUAAGUGUGCCUCUUCAGACUCCUGUGCCUCCUCCCCUGAUGGUAAUAAUGAGGAGGUCUUGUCUUAGAGGGACUUUAAUGAUGGAUGCUUCCUUCUUGAGGCAUCACUAAAAUUGUCACUGAAGCUGAUUUAGAAAUUGAAUCCAUUUUAUUUGGUGAACAUUGCCAAUAUAAACUCACUUAAAAUGUAUUAUUAAUAUAAAUAGUUAACCCCUGGUGCCACCUCAGAGGAUGGCUUAUUCCAAAGAAUUUUUUUUAAAAGUAUGACUUUAUAUGUCCCACAGUUGUCUAAUUCUGAUCUUAACUCAAAGUUGGACCAUAGCCUCUCUCAGCACCAUGUCGGUUUGUCCUUUGUAUUUGUGAACACUUAUUUCAAUGGGGAUGCUGAUCUAGCAAUGAGAAGAUAUAACAUUUUGUGCCUUGUCAACAUCUAUCCAAAUAUAGAUUAAUAAGACUGGUAAAAGACUGUCCCUACAAUGCAAUAUGGCAAUCUUUCAAUCAACCUAGAACAGACAUAUAGUUUCUUGGUCACGAUUAAUCAUGAGCUAACGUUGAUAGCGCAAAGCAAAGCUUCAGUAGGGAUAUGCCACAUCCUCUGUAUAAUUUCAGACCAUCAAUGAUCUCAAAUCAGUAAAUAUCAGGCAUGAUGACUUAAAGGGACGUGGUAGUUCAAAGUUAUUGGUGCCACAUAAAUAUAUUGUGUUAACAUGCCAGUUAAGAUAGAGAAUUAUCCAAUGUAUUUGAAGUAGGAUGACUGGAGAUUCAUUCACAAUAUCACAAAAUUUAAUGUAAAUAAGUACAGAAACGCACAACAGAUGAGUCUGUAUCUGUGGAAAGUGAAACAAGUUUAAUGUUUCAGAUAUGAGACACUUCCACUUUUUUUCCAAAGGUGCUCUUUGAAAUGCUGAAUGUUUCCAGCAUGUGUAAUUUUCUUUUGAUUUUCAUGAUAGAAUUUAUCAUUUAGAAAAUUGAUUACAUUGUGCCAGCUUCACAGAUGAAUUACUGUUCAAUGGCCGUAUUCCUAGGACUGAGCCUCUGUGCUCCUACAGCUCUGCAUGAGGACAGAGUUCAGUUUUGAUAUGAUGCUCUGGAAUACUGCCAGUACUGGUCUUUGGAGGCAAAGCAGCAGCAUUCUGAGUUUCUAAAGAGGCAGCAUGAGUUGUUGGGGUAAUCAGCAGAGCUUCCUUGAUUGUGGUCAGUGCUGUAUGACACACUGUGAUGGAUAUUUGCUUCCUGGGCUAGUAAGCCUCAUGUUUUGCCAAGCUUGUCUUUCUAAACACAGCAGCUGCCACUUGUAAGACCAAGCAGCCAAUGAAUAUCAUGCUUUAGCUUCUGGUUGUAAAUGGGAGGCUGUUUUCUUAAAAUGUAAAUGGCAAGCAAUAUUCAUCUUGAGGUUAAAAACACAGCUUUCAAAACAAGCUCUCUCUGGGGAGCAGACUGCUAGCCUACAUCACCUGGUUUAUUGCUGCUCAAGAGGUACCGUAUAAGACAAUGAGUUAUUAAAUUUUGCUUGUCUCAAAACAGACAAUACUUCGUUGCUUCGUUCAAGGAAGUAUGGAGAACAGGUGGAUAAUAUCAUUUAGCAUACCAAAUAAUUGAUGUGUUUGUAGUUGGAAGGUUUAUGUACUCAGAGAAACUAGCUUUACAGCUUUAAUUGGUAGCUAGGAUCUGUGGCUCCAAAACAUUUGCAAACCAUUUGUGUAAAAAACAUGUCUGAGAAAAUAUGCUCAGAAAUAAUGGCAAAAAACCAGUAUAAAUGUAGAGAGCAGUUCAGACUACUUACAAAUGAAGUAAAGAACAUCAUGAAACCUGAAAGUAAAAGAGGGGGAAUUAGAAUCCGUUCCCCUGGCUUUGAUUUCUGCAAUGGAUGAUUUGUUCAUUUGCAUCAUUGGUAUGUGUGUUUUAGUUUAUAGGAAACGUACCUGUGUUUUGGCAAUGCUUUGUAAUUUGAAAAUGUUUGAGAGAACAAUCCUCUUUGAGUUUUAAAUGUGUUUAAGAAUAUGUUUGGAUUUAAA